CAACUCUCUCUCUUCUUUGUUAUUUUAUCUUCUCCCUCUAGUUGCUGUCUCUUAUUAGUCUGUUUUCUCUCUAGUUUAAUUCAGGGAGAUCAUGGAUUGUUGGUUAGUCUUGGGGUACUAGAUACUUGUAGACCCUUGAGAGGAUCCAUAGAGAGCUUUGGGUUGUCAGAUAUCUUGGGUAACUUUUAAUAUUGUCUUGAUUCUGUAGGGGAACAAUCUAUUGGACGAGAGGACGUUGGGUGGAGUCAUGCGCAUUCCGGUUCAUAGAUCGCUAUGAGGGCGGUGAUUAGUUUGUCUGAGUUUUCAACAAAGAGUAAGAAUCCUUGUACGCCAAUCCUGCAUGAUAUAAAUAUUUUUGCACCAUAUAUGCUAAUAUGCUAUGAUCCAGAUAAAGCAAAAAUAGUUUUAUAUUAAACUAUAUUUUGAUCGUGUUGGCUUGUGAUUGGUAUUAUAAUGGAUGCAUGUAUGUGUAUAACCUAUACCUGCAUAAUCGGAUUUAUGAAUGUGGUGGUAUGGACUAACCAUAUUAAAUUGAUUGCCCUGUCACGGGCCAGAAACGUGA
rnacentral:lncRNA from 1 species